UAGGGAAUAUUGGUCAAUGGGUGAGAGCCUGAACCAGCCAUGCCGCGUGCAGGAAGAAGGCCUUCUGGGUUGUAAACUGCUUUUGUCAGGGGAUAAAAUAGCUUUGCGAAGCAAAUUGAAGGUACCUGGUGAAUAAGCCACGGCUAACUACGUGCCAGCAGCCGCGGUAAUACAGAGGUGGCAAGCGUUGUUCGGAAUUACUGGGCGUAAAGGGCGCGUAGGCGGCCCUCUAAGUCAGACGUGAAAUCCCCCGGCUUAACCUGGGAACUGCGUCUGAUACUGGAGGGCUUGAGUAUGGGAGAGGGAUGUAGAAUUCCAGGUGUAGCGGUGAAAUGCGUAGAUAUCUGGAGGAAUACCGGUGGCGAAGGCGGCAUCCUGGACCAUUACUGACGCUGAGGCGCGAAAGCUAGGGGAGCAAACGGGAUUAGAUACCCCAGUAGUCCCUGAGCGGGCUGGCAAGGCGCAU
rnacentral:rRNA from 1 species